GACAGAGGGUGCAAACGUUGCUCGGAAUUACUGGGCGUAAAGCGCGUGUAGGCGGACCACCAAGUCGGACGUGAAAGCCCUGAGCUCAACUCAGGAACUGCAUCCGAAACUGGCGGUCUGGAGUAGUGGAGAGGAAAGCAGAAUUCCUGGUGUAGAGGUGAAAUUCGUAGAUAUCAGGAGGAACACCGGUGGCGAAGGCGGCGACCUGGUCCGAUACUGACGCUGAGGCGCGAAAGCGUGGGGAGCAAACAGG
rnacentral:rRNA from 1 species